ACUGGAUAUUACAAUCAUAUUUCCAUUUGCCAUUGGAUUGCUUUUAUCUUUCAUGACUACGGCUCUCUGCCUCUGCAGCAGGAGGAACAUAUCUGGAAACCAAAACCAGGACAGCAGAACAUUGACUUGGGUUCAAUACAACAUUAUGGAUGGGGCAAAGGCAGUUUCUUCACCAUUCCAAACUACAGCAAUGUGGAGGAGAACUGACAAGCAGGACAACGUGGAGGCAGUACUGAUGACCAGAGGAACAAUAAGCAAAUAACACCACUCAGGAAAUGACUGACGUAAAUAUAUUUAGUUCACACUUUGGUUUGAAGGAUUCAUCAAAAAGAUCCAGUUUGGAAGAUAUAACAUGUAUUUUAUUCUUAAAACUGGAAAUUCAAACAUGCAAUCUAAUGUAACUGUAACAUUUAACCUCUGUUUUCAACUGAAACAAUUUAUGAUGUUAGUGUCAUGUUUCUGAAAUGAUUUAUGAUGUUUCCUCUAAAUGUAUUUUUAUGUUACAAUGUGUCAAGUAUUCAAUAAUGGUACGCUUCGUGUCCCUUUAUAUUCUGAAAAAGCUUUCAAUGCACAUUCAUACAAUGUUUAUUUUAAUAGCAAUAAAUUCAGCUCAAUCAGACUCA